GAUGAACGCUGGCGGCGUGCCUAAUACAUGCAAGUCGAGCGAACAGAUAAGGAGCUUGCUCCUUUGACGUUAGCGGCGGACGGGUGAGUAACACGUGGAUAACCUACCUAUAAGACUGGGAUAACUUCGGGAAACCGGAGCUAAUACCGGAUAACAUAUUGAACCGCAUGGUUCAAUAGUGAAAGGCGGCUUUGCUGUCACUUAUAGAUGGAUCCGCGCCGUAUUAGCUAAUUGGUAAGGUAACGGCUUACCAAGGCAACGAUACGUAGCCGAACUGAGAGGGUGAUCGGCCACACUGGAACUGAGACACGGUCCAGACUCCUACGGGAGGCAGCAGUAGGGAAUCUUCCGCAAUGGGCGAAAGCCUGACGGAGCAACGCCGCGUGAGUGAUGAAGGUCUUCGGAUCGUAAAACUCUGUUAUCAGGGAAGAACAAAUGUGUAAGUAACUGUGCACAUCUUGACGGUACCUGAUCAGAAAGCCACGGCUAACUACGUG
rnacentral:rRNA from 1 species